GUCCACCUACCAGUAGCUCACAGUCCACCUACCAGUAGCUCACAGUCCACCUACCAGUAGCUCACAGUCCACCUACCUUCAUGAACCAACAUCCAUGAGGAACGUUUUUGACUUGAAGAAUCCAUUCCCCAAAGACUUCAGGCUGUUCUGGAGACAAAGGGGUGUCCGAUCCGGUACUAGAUGGGUGUACCUAAUAAACUGUCUGGUGAAUGUAUAAUCAGGGUCAUGGUGUUCUUUCCUGUCUGUAAAAUCUAGCGCAGCCUAAGAAAAAGUCCAGGGAAAAAACCCUUUGUGAAAGUGAAAUCACUGUAGCUUUGUCCUCCCUCAGUGCCCAUAUUAGGACUGUCGGGGAUCUGUCCGAGAGAGAGAGAGAGAGAAGGUGUUGCAUUCUUCAAGUAGGUUCGGGGUUGUGAAAGGGGGUAUCCACUGUCCACCCAAUCUCUUCUCCCCCAGUUAUUUUCUGGGACACUGCACAAUACAACUUUAUUUGAUGGCAGAACAUUCAGAAGCUGUAAGUUUGACACAUGGCAAAAUGCUUCUGCUGUUUCUGAGUCUCGGUUUGUUCACUUCUAAUGUCCAGUCAGAAAAACAAGGGGUUAAUGUAACGUGUGAAAAUCAAUCGGUUGUAGCAGGACAGAACCACAACCUGACAUGUAGAGUGGAUUACAGUGAUGUAGGUCAGAAUAAUCUGGGAUGUAAAACUACAAAUUGUUUCUGGAAACAUAAAUCAAAAUCUCCAAUACGAAAUUGUGAUUGUACAAAUGAUUGUAACACUACGAUAACAACCAACACCUACUUUUGUGAGAUCAAAAAUGUUACCAAAGCUGAUGAGGGAAACUACACUUUUACCAUUAACACAGACUGUGGCAACGGACAUGGCACAUUGAAUGUUUCCGUUACAGUGAGCAAUGAAAAACAAGCGUUUCUGGGAUCGUCAGGUCACCUAUCGUCAGUAUCAUCACUGUUCUGGGUUUUCUACUGUUUCUCAUCUUAAGACUUAAUAGUUCCUUGAGAAACAAUGACAAAGCUACCAGAGAGGCCCUAAACCAGAAGCCUGCAUAACUUUCAGUCUGGAGGAGCUGUGUGUGUUGGUUCUACUAUCCUUGUGGGGACAGAAAUAUCUCAUUUACAUAAGUAGUCAAACUCCUAAGUCAAUAAAUACUUUGUGGAAGCUCCUUCUGCAUUGAUUACCGCUG